AGAUGGCGACGGCGCACGGGUGAGUAACACGUAUCCAACCUGCCGAUAACUCGGGGAUAGCCUUUCGAAAGAAAGAUUAAUACCCGAUGGCAUAAUUAGACCGCAUGGUCUUAUUAUUAAAGAAUUUCGGUUAUCGAUGGGGAUGCGUUCCAUUAGGCAGUUGGUGAGGUAACGGCUCACCAAACCUUCGAUGGAUAGGGGUUCUGAGAGGAAGGUCCCCCACAUUGGAACUGAGACACGGUCCAA
rnacentral:rRNA from 1 species